UACGUAGGGUGCGAGCGUUGUCCGGAAUUACUGGGCGUAAAGAGCUCGUAGGUGGUUUGUCGCGUUGUUCGUGAAAACUCACAGCUUAACUGUGGGCGUGCGGGCGAUACGGGCAGACUGGAGUACUGCAGGGGAGACUGGAAUUCCUGGUGUAGCGGUGGAAUGCGCAGAUAUCAGGAGGAACACCGGUGGCGAAGGCGGGUCUCUGGGCAGUAACUGACGCUGAGGAGCGAAAGCGUGGGGAGGCGAACAGG
rnacentral:rRNA from 1 species